UACGGAGGGGGCUAGCGUUGUUCGGAAUUACUGGGCGUAAAGCGCACGUAGGCGGCUUUGUAAGUUAGAGGUGAAAGCCCAGGGCUUAACCCUGGAAUUGCCUUUAAGACUGCAUCGCUAGAAUCGUGGAGAGGUAAGUGGAAUUCCGAGUGUAGAGGUGAAAUUCGUAGAUAUUCGGAAGAACACCAGUGGCGAAGGCGACUUACUGGACACGUAUUGACGCUGAGGUGCGAAAGCGGUGGGGAGCAAACAGG
rnacentral:rRNA from 1 species